GUAUAAACGAUGCCCCCCAUAGGGGGCUUCACAGCGCUCAGCGCUUCUGGUCCAUCAGAUCUUCCCAUCUGGCCAAUCUCGUCCGUUCGUUCUAAGCUGUGAGCAAGGGUGCUGGUUGGUUCUCCUGCUAGAUAAAACCAUGCAACAGCUGUGUGUUACCCGUCUGAGACUGCCCGUGGGUCCCAUCUUCGGCCGGGUCUACUCGUCGGUCGCUGCAGCUAGGAGUUGGUUUGGUGGAAAAGAUCUCCACCGGGGGCAAUUUUGGGUUUUCCUCCUCCCUGCCUGAGACAAAACCAGAGAAUCCCACAACAAACCCUACCCAUUCAUCGUCCUCUCUCCUCGCGCACCACCCUCCGCAUCCCGCCGCCGCCUGUGCCCUGGCUCCUCCUCUGCGCCGGCGCCGCCGCCCCCGCCUCCUCCUCUGCGAUGCCGCCCCCGCUCUGCCUCCUCCCGUGCUCAACGCCAGCUCGCCCAUCCCUGGUCCUCCCCAUCGAGCUUGCCGCCGCCAAGGCCGCCGCUGCUCCUCCUCCCCGCCCUCUGUCGGUGUUGGAGACAACGGCGAGGUUUGGAGCAGCGGGGGACUUCGUGCCUCUCCCGAGCUGCUUGGCGUGGAGUCCGUGGUUGAGCUCCUCUCCAUCAUCCUCUUGUCUGAAGCCACCAAGGUCGUCAUCGUCCUCACCAACCAUGACCAGACAAGGUCCCCCGCUUCCUGCUUCUCUUGGCUGGCCAGCCCUGUCUCAUCCACAGCCUGCUGAGGGGAGAGAAGGACAUGCUUUGCAACCUCCAUCCCUGGCCCCUUUACAUGGAGCUGCGGCUAGCCAGGUUCAUCUUCCUCUGGCCCAUCUCUCCACAUCCCCUUUGCUGAUUCGAGAUAUGUUUUGUUUCUAUGCAUAUGAACUGUUUGAGGAAAUGUCUAAGCAGGUUGCAUAUGUACAGUUUGAGGAAAUGUAUAAGCAGGCUGCAGAUAGAGGAGGGCCAUCAAUAUCUUUGAGAGAAGCUGGUGCCAUUGAGAAACAUCUUUGAGAGAAGCAGGCACUGUAGAGAACAGGUACUUUACAUUGGGUGAGAAAUUUAUUCGUGUGAUGGAUUGAGCAGAUUGUGACAUUUGUCUACAUUCAUCUCUGAAAUCAAGUUAUAACUCAGAUCUCAUUCUACAUGAGCUACCGUGAAUUUUAUCCUUUCGCACUUUAGAUUGUUGCUAUAUGGAAGUUGGUUGAGAUUUCGUGUCACAAUUCCAUGAACAUGUUUGUCUUGCCUCCAUUAAUCAUAGAGAUCUUGGUUGAUAAACUGUUUAUUUAUUGGAACUAUAAUUUGUUGAUUUUCUGUUCAUCAAAUUUCUAAUUAUGAUAUUGUAAAUAAUUGUUCAAAUAAAUUUAUGUGGUAUUAUGAGAAGAUGAAGCUGAAUAUGUCUAGACGUGUAUUUUGGAAUUCUAGAUCUGUCCCACAUGGCAAUCUUUUAAACAGGUAGUUUUAAAAAUGACAACCGACAAGAAGAGUCACUUCUACCUUGCAAUAUUGAGCUCAGAUAUGAUGCAUAUUUGACUCAGUAAUCUGUGUGCUUAUAUGUAACUUUGAAGUUUUAUUUUGUAGCCUGAUGGUGCUACUACAAAAGUGUGACUUGAGUAUAAAAAUUGCAUUCUUUGGGAGAGCCCCCGCAGGUGCAUAUUUAUUUGUUGGUUUACAUCAAACCCCAUCGAAGCCAUGUUUAGACCCAUGUUUAGUUUUAUGUUUUUCAUAUUUCAAGAAGCGGGUAGUGGCUAAAAAACUACCUGUAGCAGGUUGCUUACUACUAUUUUCCAUUUUAUGCUCGCAUUUAUUGAGUCAAAUUGACACAAAGAUUUGUGGUUAUCAUGCAAAUCGAUUGCUG